AAAGAAUAACUUAAGAAGUUUUGUUAUUGUUAGUAGUUGUAAUGGUGGUUGUGGUGGGGGAUUAACUUGAGCUAAUUUUCAAAUCUUUAGAAUUGCAAUAGUUUGUCUAAAAAGUCAAGAUAAAUGAAAUUAAAUUUUGUUUUAUUUAUUUCCUUUAAAAAUGCCAAAUUAACAGGAAAAUAGAAUAGCCUUCAUGCCAUUCAGUAGGUUUGUUUUAAGAAAUUAACACUGAUUUUUAUGCUAAAUUACAAGAAAUAUUUUAAGAAGACAAAUCGUUCAAUAACGAGUUACAAUAUAAGUCAGAAAUUAAUUCUAAUUAAAGUGAGGGAAUAAAUUUCAAGAAGGGAACAAAUAAGGUCUUU
rnacentral:lncRNA from 1 species